AAUGGAUGGACGCAGCCUGAUCCAGCCAUGCCGCGUGCGGGAAGAAGGCCUUCGGGUUGUAAACCGCUUUUGUCAGGGAAGAAAAGGUUCUGGCUAAUACCUGGGACUCAUGACGGUACCUGAAGAAUAAGCACCGGCUAACUACGUGCCAGCAGCCGCGGUAAUACGUAGGGUGCAAGCGUUAAUCGGAAUUACUGGGCGUAAAGCGUGCGCAGGCGGUUAUGCAAGACAGAGGUGAAAUCCCCGGGCUCAACCUGGGAACUGCCUUUGUGACUGCAUGGCUAGAGUACGGUAGAGGGGGAUGGAAUUCCGCGUGUAGCAGUGAAAUGCGUAGAUAUGCGGAGGAACACCGAUGGCGAAGGCAAUCCCCUGGACCUGUACUGACGCUCAUGCACGAAAGCGUGGGGAGCAAACAGGAUUAGAUACCCUGGUAGUCCACGCCCUAAACGAUGUCAACUGGUUGUUGGGAGGGUUUCUUCUCAGUAACGUAGCUAACGCGUGAAGUUGACCGCCUGGGGAGUACGGCCGCAAGGUUGAAACUCAAAUGAAAUUUGACGGA
rnacentral:rRNA from 1 species